GGGAAUCUUCGGAAAUGGGCGAAAGCCUGACCGAGCAACGCCGCGUGAAUGAAGAAGGCCUUCGGGUUGUAAAGUACUUUCAGCGGGGAGGAAGGGAGUAAAGUUAAUACCUUUGCUCAUUGACGUUACCCGCAGAAGAAGCACCGGCUAACUCCGUGCCAGCAGCCGCGGUAAUACGGCGGGUGCAAGCGUUAAUCGGAAUUACUGGGCGUAAAGCGCACGCAGGCGGUUUGUUAAGUCAGAUGUGAAAUCCCCGGGCUCAACCUGGGAACUGCAUCUGAUACUGGCAAGCUUGAGUCUCGUAGAGGGGGGUAGAAUUCCAGGUGUAGCGGUGAAAUGCGUAGAGAUCUGGAGGAAUACCGGUGGCGAAGGCGGCCCCCUGGACGAAGACUGACGCUCAGGUGCGAAAGCGUGGGGAGCAAACAGG
rnacentral:rRNA from 1 species